ACUUUGGCUUGAUAUAGAACAAGAUUGCCAUAAUUGAAGAUCUUUAGCAUGACUUUUGAAUUAUAAUAAUGAGCCAUCCUCUGCUGGUAAGAGGUUAUUCUAAUCCAAGCUUGCUCUCUGAUCUCUUCAAAAAGGUCGAGUUUGGGGCAAAGACAAUUAGAAUUUUCUUGCUCAUUGAAGCUCUCCACUUUGCAUGAAGGAAGAUCGAUCUCUAUUAGAAUGAUAAUUUCUACAUCGAAGGCAAGUUUGAAGGGCAUCUCUCUAAUUGAUGUUUAGGAUGUAGUUCGGUAUGUCCAA
rnacentral:lncRNA from 1 species